UACGUAGGUGGCAAGCGUUGUCCGGAAUUAUUGGGCGUAAAGAGCGCGUAGGCGGUCCGAUAAGUCGGCUGUGAAAGUCAGGGGCUCAACCCUUGAAAGCCGGCCGAUACUGUCGGACUAGAGUCCGGAAGAGGCGAGUGGAAUUCCCGGUGUAGCGGUGAAAUGCGCAGAUAUCAGGAAGAACACCCGUGGCGAAGGCGGCUCUCUGGGACGGUACUGACGCUGAGACGCGAAAGCGUGGGGAGCGAACAGG
rnacentral:rRNA from 1 species